UACGUAGGGUGCAAGCGUUUGUCCGGAAUUAUUGGGCGUAAAGAGCUCGUAGGCGGUCUGUCGCGUCGGCUGUGAAAACUCGGGGCUCAACUCCGAGCUUGCAGUCGAUACGGGCAGGCUAGAGUUCGGCAGGGGAGACUGGAAUUCCUGGUGUAGCGGUGAAAUGCGCAGAUAUCAGGAGGAACACCGGUGGCGAAGGCGGGUCUCUGGGCCGAUACUGACGCUGAGGAGCGAAAGCGUGGGGGAGCGAACAGG
rnacentral:rRNA from 1 species